rnacentral:rRNA from 1 species
CAGUAGCCACGGGAAUACGAAGGGUGCAAGCGUUAAUCGGAAUUACUGGGCGUAAAGCGUGCGUAGGCGGUGAGUUAAGUCUGUUGUGAAAUCCCCGGGCUCAACCUGGGAAUGGCAAUGGAUACUGGCAAGCUAGAGUGUGUCAGAGGAUGGUGGAAUUCCCGGUGUAGCGGUGAAAUGCGUAGAGAUCGGGAGGAACAUCAGUGGCGAAGGCGGCCAUCUGGGACAACACUGACGCUGAGGCACGAAAGCGUGGGGAGCAAACAGGAUUAGAUACCCCAGUAGUCCCUGUCUCUUAUAA